GACGAACGCUGGCGGCGUGCCUAAUACAUGCAAGUAGAACGCUGAAGGAGGAGCUUGCUCUUCUGGAUGAGUUGCGAACGGGUGAGUAACGCGUAGGUAACCUGCCUGGUAGCGGGGGAUAACUAUUGGAAACGAUAGCUAAUACCGCAUAACAGUAGAUGUUGCAUGACAUUUACUUAAAAGGUGCAAUUGCAUCACUACCAGAUGGACCUGCGUUGUAUUAGCUAGUUGGUGGGGUAACGGCUCACCAAGGCGACGAUACAUAGCCGACCUGAGAGGGUGAUCGGCCACACUGGGACUGAGACACGGCCCAGACUCCUACGGGAGGCAGCAGUAGGGAAUCUUCGGCAAUGGACGGAAGUCUGACCGAGCAACGCCGCGUGAGUGAAGAAGGGUGUCGGAUCGUAAAGCUCUGUUGUAAGAGAAGAACAAGUGUGAGAGUGGAAAGUUCACACUGUGACGGUAGCUUACCAGAAAGGGACGGCUAACUACGUG
rnacentral:rRNA from 1 species